rnacentral:rRNA from 1 species
CCUACGGGGGGCAGCAGUGGGGGAUAUUGCACAAUGGGGGGAACCCUGAUGCAGCGACGCCGCGUGGGUGAAGGAGUGUUUCGGCGUGUAAAGCUCUAUCGGCAGGGAAGAAGGAGGACGGUACCUGACUAAGAAGCCCCGGCGAACUACGUGCCAGCCGCCGCGGUAAUACGGAGGGGGCAAGCGUUAUCCGGAGUUACUGGGUGGAAAGGGGGCGGAGACGGCAGGGGAAGCCAGGAGUGAAAGGCCGGGGCCCAACCCACGGACUGAUCUUGGAAAUGCGGGGCUGGAGUGCAGGAGAGGCAGGCGGAAUUCCUGGUGUAGCGGUGAAAUGCGUAGAUAUCAGGAGGAACACCAGUGGCGAAGGCGGCCUGCUGGACUGUAACUGACGUUGAGGCCCGAAAGCGUGGGGAGCAAACAGGAUUAGAUACCCGUGUAGUC